rnacentral:rRNA from 1 species
GUUUGAUCCUGGCUCAGAUUGAACGCUGGCGGCAUGCCUUACACAUGCAAGUCGAACGGUAACAGGUCUWCGGAUGCUGACGAGUGGCGAACGGGUGAGUAAUACAUCGGAACGUGCCUAGUAGUGGGGGAUAACUACUCGAAAGAGUGGCUAAUACCGCAUGAGAUCUACGGAUGAAAGCAGGGGAUCGCAAGACCUUGUGCUACUAGAGCGGCCGAUGGCAGAUUAGGUAGUUGGUGGGAUAAAAGCUUACCAAGCCGACGAUCUGUAGCUGGUCUGAGAGGACGAUCAGCCACACUGGGACUGAGACACGGCCCAGACUCCUACGGGAGGCAGCAGUGGGGAAUUUUGGACAAUGGGCGCAAGCCUGAUCCAGCAAUGCCGCGUGCAGGAUGAAGGCCUUCGGGUUGUAAACUGCUUUUGUACGGAACGAAAAGCCCUGGGUUAAUACCCUGGGGUCAUGACGGUACCGUAAGAAUAAGCACCGGCUAACUACGUGCCACCAGCCGCGGUAAUACGUAGGGUGCGAGCGUAAAUCGGAAUUACUGGGGCGUAAAGCGUGCGCA